rnacentral:rRNA from 1 species
CAGCAGCCGCGGUAACACGUAGGGAGCAAGCGUUGUUCGGAUUUACUGGGCGUAAAGGGCGCGUAGGCGGCGCGGUAAGUCACUUGUGAAAUCUCUGAGCUUAACUCAGAACGGCCAAGUGAUACUGCUGUGCUAGAGUGCGGAAGAGGCAACCGGAAUUCUUGGUGUAGCGGUGAAAUGCGUAGAUAUCAAGAGGAACACCUGAGGCGAAGGCGGGUUGCUGGGCCGACACUGACGCUGAUGCGCGAAAGCCAGGGGAGCAAACGGGAUUAGAUACCCCGGUAGUCCCUGUCUCUUAUAC